CGAAGGGCGGGCCGCGCUCACUGCCGGUUGAUUGACAGGGACGAGAUGUGCCCCGCUGAAAGCGCCGAGGGGGGAGUCGCGCGCGCGGGCUCAGUGCGGGAGGCGCUAUCUCUGUUGUACAAACUGUGUGUUGCAAAGUGAACUGAAAACUGAAUCCCAAUCAAAAGGGCUGAGCUGCCUCAUAGUGAUCUGGAUUAUGAGUGAUCUUGGAAGGGCAUCUGCACCGUAAAUGCAGAUAUGAAGAGCCCCAGAGCCACUGGACUGGAACAUUCUCAGAAUGAGGGCUUUUCAGCUCUUUGAUUAUUUUUAUUAGGUUGUUUGGGCUCAUACUGUAUGUUUAAUAUUUAUUAUUAUUAAAAAAUAAGUAUUUGGA